rnacentral:sRNA from 1 species
CUCGCUGAAUCUCCUUCGCCGGAGAACGGGGGAACCAAUGCGGGCAGCGGUUGGCAGAAGCCAGUUGCGCCGGCAUUUGAUUUCUUUACCAGGGUCUAUGGGGUGAAUUCGAGGUCAUUGCGCCAUGAGCGAAUGAACUGAGAAAGGGCGGCUCUCUUUCGCCCGAACCCGACAGCUAACCUCGUAAGCGUAUAAGAGAGG